rnacentral:lncRNA from 1 species
GUGUGUGUGUGUGUGUGUGCGUGCGCGCGUGCAUGUGUACCAUGUCAUGAGUGUGGCUGUCAGAAUUUAGUUCUAUAGAGCCAGUUCUCUCCUUCCACCUUUGCAUAGGUUCCCGGGACCAGGCUUCCUCAGCAAGCGCAUUUCCUGAUGAGCCAUGUCAGCCGGUGUUUCUGUCUUGCCAGCUCCGAUGACUAACUCCAGAGUUUGCCUCUCGGAAAUCCUACAAACGAUGGGAUCUGCUCUCUGUGGCAUCCUUGAGCAGUGCCCAGAAUUUCCAGGGAGCGUCCAGUAUUGUCAGCUUACCGGCAGCCUUGUUUAUGUGGGAAGGUAAGGGCAAAGGCUGGCCACCCCUUCUGUCUCCUGAGAGGCAUCAUCUAACAGUGAUGACACAGAGGGUAUGAGUUUGGAGUUAGAGGGCAGGGAGUCAAGUUCUGGCUUUCCUUCUGCUCAUUCAACCUUGGGAAGGAAAAAUGAUAACAUCAGCCCAAGAAGUGUGCAGGGAGAAUUUAAAGAGUGUAUGUGUCUGACAUGCGUAAAGGAAGAAAAGGAGAAGUUUAGAGAAUACUUCUAAUGUAACUCUGCUUUGCACAUGGGCUCAGGAGCCCGUUGUUCUUAAGGUUGGCAGUGGACUGUAUGUCAAAACUAACAAAUAUUAUGUGGUAAUUUCAUACCUAGGAAUAUGACCUAAAGAAAUGACCAAGCAAAUUCACGUAUUUGUGAAUGUACAAUAGGGAUCUUUAUCAGAGUAUUGUUGGUAAUACUAAAC